rnacentral:pre_miRNA from 1 species
UAGCUUUGUCCUAAGUCAAACUACUCUAACUUUGAUCAAGUUUUUAGAAAAAUAGACUAACAUCUAUAGUACCAAGAUAAAUGCAUAAUCAAAACAUAUUUCAUGGUAGAUUUAAUGAAACUGAUUGGAUGUUGUAAAUGCUGGUGCCUUUUCCUUAUAAAUUUGGUCAAAUUUAGGAAAAGUUUGAGUUAGGACAAAGCUAC